ACGUAGGUGGCAAGCGUUGUCCGGAAUCAUUGGGCGUAAAGAGCGCGUAGGUGGCUUGUCAGGUCUGGUGUGAAAUUUCGGGGCUCAACCCCGAACCUGCAUCGGAAACCGGCUUGCUAGAGUCUGGGAGAGGAGAGUGGAAUUCCUGGUGGGGCGGUGAAAUGAGUAGAUAUGAGGAGGAGGCGCGGUAGCGAAGGCGGCGCUCUGGAAUAGUACUGACGCUAGGGCGGGAAAGCUAGGGGAGGGAACGG
rnacentral:rRNA from 1 species